GCAGAGAUGCUAAUGUUUUAGGCUAAAUUUUGAUUGUUGCAUGAAGAAGCGAGCCCAGAUGGAGACGCUCGUCGACCAGCUCGACCUUCUGAGGGCAGUCGGUAUCACCAGCGAUGGCGAGGGCCACUACGUGGUGAAGCUCCACCUCCUUUUCUUCCAUUUCAUCCUUGUCUGACGAAGGCCUAUCUAUGCGCCGCCUUCAGCAGUGACGUCUACAACCUUUUUGCCG
rnacentral:lncRNA from 1 species